rnacentral:rRNA from 1 species
CCUACGGGAGGCAGCAGUAAGGAAUAUUGGUCAAUGGGCGCAAGCCUGAACCAGCCAUGCCGCGUGCAGGAUGACGGCCCUCUGGGUUGUAAACUGCUUUUAUACGGGAAGAACAGCAUCUACGUGUAGGUGUUUGACGGUACUGUAAGAAUAAGGACCGGCUAACUUCGUGCCAGCAGCCGCGGUAAUACGAAGGGUCCAAGCGUUAUCCGGAUUUAUUGGGUUUAAAGGGUGCGUAGGCGGCUUUUUAAGUCAGUGGUGAAAGCCUGAUGCUCAACAUCAGAACUGCCAUUGAUACUGAAGAGCUUGAGUACAGUUGAGGUUGGCGGAAUGUGUCAUGUAGCGGUGAAAUGCUUAGAUAUGACACAGAACACCGAUUGCGAAGGCAGCUAGCUAAGCUGUUACUGACGCUGAUGCACGAAAGCGUGGGGAGCAAACAGGAUUAGAUACCCUGGUAGUCCACGCCCUAAACGUUGAUAACUCGUUGUUAGCGAUAUACUGUUAGCGACCAAGCGAAAGCAUUAAGUUAUCCAACCUGGGAAGUUACGGUUCGCAAGAUUGAAACUUAAAGGAAUUGACGGG